CCGCCCUCCCGCAGGAAUCCCGGGCGGCGCGGCGGCUCCGGGACGCGCGGCUCCGCGGGGCUGCACAGCAGCGGCAGCGGCAGCAGGAGAGCAGCGAGCGGGGGAGCCGCGCUGCCAGCAGCAGCCGCCGCCUCACGCUGCGGCACCGGCACGGCCAGCGCAGGUGGGUGCGCAGCGCCCGCUCCCGCCCGGACACCGCCGGAGCCGAGUGCGGCCGAGGGGCUCGGGGGGCUCGGGCUGGGGCUGGUUUGGUGGCACUGGGGCGGUGCCCGGCGCACCUGAGCGGCCGCAGCCCGGCUGGGAUGGUGACCGCGUCCCGGGGGAGCCGCUCCCGUCCGGGAGUGGCCGGCGCUGCUGGGAAGGCGAGAGCGCUACCUGGACGUGUGCGUCGGCGCUUGGGAAUUUUAUUUCUUUCUUAUAUCAUCUUCAGGUGGCAGUGUAGAAGCCAAGAACAAGAAUUGGCAGAAAUUGUGUUCUGUGUACGAGACUAUGAAGAGUGUACUCAUGACUAAGCACAGGAACCUGGAAAACCACAGGAUUGUCUUGAAAAUGGUUUGUGGGAGCCUGAGGAAUGGAUUAAAGAUGCUGAAUGGAAGGCAGAGAAGUUAUUAACAUUUCACAAAAUAAAUAAAUACUUUAAACUUUCA
rnacentral:lncRNA from 1 species